rnacentral:lncRNA from 1 species
CACCUAUUCCACCCAAAAUGCACAUAACUGGAGCGAGUACUAACAUCAAACGUACCAUCACACCCUAUUUAACAUAUUAAUGUAGAAAUCGUUUAUCAAAGUUGAUAAAAAUUUGAUUAAAAUAUACUAAUUUAUACUCACAGCAAAAUACAAGCUAGUAAUGCCAUACAAAACAAGGAAAAUAUUGGAGUCUGUUAAUUUAGAGAAACAGAAAUAUAAACCUGAUGGAAAUAAAAAUACUAAUAUUUGAAGAUCGAAAUAAAAUGAGCUCCAAGCUGUAGGUUGAUGUUCAGAAACAGAUGCAAUUAUUGGUUGAAAACCAACAAAAGAUAUUUGCAUAGACAAAAUAGUACCAAGACAAUAUAAAAUGCUAUAAGCAGUGUAUAUCCUAUGCGAAAAUCUACCAGUAACCAUGAGAGUCAAUACAUGUAAUGGAAUUAAAUUGAUUAGAAAAACAUAACCACCCCAUGAAGACACCAUAUAAAAAUAUGCAAGUGCAGCGCAUGUUGACCAACAAAUAGCUCCAGUUUUGACUGCUUUUAUCCACAUAUAAUAUGUAAAUAACAUACAAAAAAUAGCUAUGCCUUCGUUAUCGUACGAUCCUGCUACAGAUCGAGAUAUAUAGCCUGGUACAAUAGCGAUCAUAGCUGCAGCAAAUAAUCCAGAUGCAGAAUCCUUAAAAACAAACAUAUUAUCGAUACAUUCAUAUAUUUAUAAUUUGUUAUAAAUUAAAUAAUUUGUUUUUUAACAUGAAAAUGUAUGUAAUAUGAAAUAUUUUUAUUCGUGAAUUACCUUUAAUUCUUUAGUUAACAAAUAAGUGAUAACUGUAGUAAAACUUGAAAAUAGAGGUGCUAGAAAUACA